CCCCAUACGCUUCCUGACUUUUCCCUUCAGUCACAUCUGUCUUUCCAUAAGUCAGACGACAUUUCCUUCUCCCCUUCUCCUUUAUUAUUCUCUUCUUCUCCCCUCCUAUCAAUUUCUCUCCUCUUCUUUCUUCUUUGUUUCUCUCUUUCUCUCCCUUCCUCCUCUCCAAAUGACUUGUACUAGAUCCAUGGCCGCCCUGAAGAAUGUUCCCCUCUCUCCUACAAGUUCUUUCAAAAUCGAUUACAUCUCCUUUGACUCCUCAGAGGCAGAGUCAUUUGACUCUUCUCCCUCAACCAAAAAGUGUCCCUCUACAGAAAAAAACAAGAAAUAAAAGAAACCUCGUCCGACGCUUCCUGGUACUUUCUCUGAUGAAGACUCUCUGAAGUUUUGGGGUUUGGAACACAAAAUAUGUUAUGUGGCUUUCUCCAAGCGUCCGAUUGUACCUGGACGAGUAGUAAACUUUCAACAACUUGAAGCCUUUCACUGCACGGUAAGUUCGUUCUUUCGUGCUCUAAAGUUGUCUCUGUUACUUGUCUAUGUGGGCUUGAAUUUUUUGAAGAACUUGUGUGUCUUUUUUAUGCAAGUCUUAGGAUAUCUCCUGAUAAUGGCGAAUGGGAAACCGUUGUUUCAGGGAAUCGUAUUGUGUUAAAUUAUUCUAUGUUUAAAGAUGUGUUUUGCUCUGAGUUCUCUGGUGAUAUUCCCUUCAUGCAUGAUAAUUUAUGGCCUAAAAAUUUUGUAACUUCUUUGGAUAAUGCUAAAUUGUUUGUUUCUAAAUGUGGUGUUGAUGUUACCAACUUUGGUCCCUUUCUCUCGGCUUUGAGAACUGCAUCCUCGCUAACAUAGUGGCCACCACUCUCAAUCCUCGGUAGGGUUCACUCAGUAAUAUCUCAAACAAAGAUGUCUAUGUGCUUUACUGUCUUCUGAGAAAGUUUCGCAUCAACUGGGCAAUGUGGCUCUGUGAAUACAUGGUGGAAAGAUCUGCAGAAAGUAACUUCUCUGCUAGUCUACCAUAUAGUUUGUUAAUUUUGCGCAUCAUAGUCGACUCCCUUGUGGAUCUCUCUCCGUACAAACUGACUCUUAUUGAUGCCACAUAUGACACUCUCACCUUCUCCGGCAUGGGUUAUGUUCUUAUUGAUGCUAAAUGGUAUAAGAAGGAGUCUGUGCAACAAAGAGCUGAUACUCCAAAAGCAACUCGUAUCUCAGCAUACAAUUUUACUCUGCUUCUCCAAGAGGCUAACAAAAUCAAGGUAAGAUUGGAUGGGUUGGAAACUCACAUGCAGGUAUUGCAGGACAAUAUAGGGAAGGUUCUCCAGCUACACUAGGACUCUAACACUGAUAUUGGAAAACUACGAUUGGAAGUUGAAGGACUUAAAAAAGAGGUAGUUCGCUCUGUUAACACUAUUCUCAAAGGAAUUGACUGUAUCAAAUCUGGAGUUGGCUCAGCUCACAAUGAGUUGGUUGUAACUGUGCACACAUCUUACUCCAACUUCUCCAGAAACGUGGAGCGAUCGUAUGGCAAUUUAUGUAGGAAUGUGCUCAAUAUUCUUAAGUAUUUCCUCGGUAAAAGUUAAGUUUGGGUUUUGUUCUUCUUUAUCUUUUGUUUAAGACUACUGUUGGAGUUGUGUCUCCUCUUCUAUUUUUUGACAUUAAUAUUGAGGCGCUGUCCUCAACACUAAAUCUCUGUCUAUUCUCUCUUGGUUUGGUCUAUUUUUUGUGCUUCUUUUACUUUCUAUUUUCCCUUUCUGAUCAUGCUAAAGGGGGAGACAAGUUACAUAUCAAUUAUCAAUUAUCACAUAGCGCAAGGGGGAGCAAACAUACAAGGGAGUUACAAAUUAACAAGGAAGUAAAAUUAAAUAUCAUGAAUUGAAAGUUAUCAUUAUCAAAAAGGGGGAGAUUGUUAACUUGGUAUAUUUUGAAUAAUGACAGGAAAACAAGGAAGUCACUCAGACGCAGACAAAUCAAGUAAAUCAAGGAGAAACCACGGCGCAAUAAAUCCGGAAGUAUGCAGUCACUACGGAUACUGAAUCAAUCACAUAUUAUUUCACAAGAAAUCAAAAAGAAAAAUCAAAGUAUCAAUGGAAAGGAAAAUCAACAGUGAUCAACUCACUGAUCACGAAAAUUCAAUCUCACUAUUGGAAUGAAAAUUGCACCAACAAAGUAAGUGAAAUCAUACACUGGAAAAGAAAUAAAUAAAGAUCAUGAAAGACAGCAGGAGACAACUAGUCACUCGCCAACUUCUAAUUCAAGGCAGAAAUGGUAUAUCAAAUCAAAGAUAAAAUCUUUCUCAAUCAAGGCAAACUCAAAUCAAAUUGGUCUGGCCCAUUCAAUGUAUCUCGAGUUUUCACAAAUGGGGCAAUUGAAGUGAAAGGUAAAGAUGGACCAGUUUUCAAGGUGAAUGGACAGAGUCUGAAACUCUACUUUGAGAAACUCAAGAAAUAUUAGUAAUUGAAGUGGUGUAUCUUGAAGAUGCUUGAAAGAAUUUCCACGUCGUGCACGACGUAUAAUAAGGCGCUUCAUUGGAGGCAACCCAAACUUUAGUUGUUUUCAAAUAAUGUGUACUGAAUGUGUUGGGACUAGUGAUUGUGCGAUGCUAAAACCAUUUUGGUGGUCCGUUGAGUCGUUCGGUUGUCGCGAUGUGUUUCGCCUUUUGCAAAUAACUGGAGGACCAUCAUUCUAGUAAAUUCAGCGAAGUUUCCUGUCUAUUCAGCGGUGCGCUGAUAGAGUUUGGUGAGACCUAUUUUUAUUGGCUUUUGGUCACACCUGUAGGCCCAUUGUUUUUUGACAUUUGGCGGUACUCUGAGUGGUUCACGGUCUCUAGCAAGCUUCACCGAUUGGACACAUAGUUAAGAUUUCUCGUGGCCUUUUUCCUUUUCACAUAGGACCUGUAUAUAACUUCAUUGAAUGCUAAUUAUUUCAUUGAUGGUACUUAAAAGGGAAAUUUCGAUAGAUUCAUUAAUUAUUCAUGGUAACUGUUUCAAA